ACAGGUAUAGCUCAGUGGUAGAGCAUUUGCCUAGCAUGUGCAAAGCCCUGGGUUCCAUUCCUAGCACUGGGA
rnacentral:tRNA from 1 species